rnacentral:rRNA from 1 species
AGUAAAAGUCGUAACAAGGUUUCCGUAGGUGAACCUGCGGAAGGAUCAUUAACAAAGCAAACCGGCGGGAGGAGGCAUGAAAAGGUUGUUGCUGGCCCCUGCCAACGUGCGGAGGUAUUAGUGCACGCCUCUCUCCUCUCGUCAAAACCCUUUGUAAACCCCCCGUGGCGGGUCGGCCUCGCGUCGUCCGUCAUGUGUUCUUUAUACAAAACCUUUACAAGCAUGUCAAAGAAUGUCUUUUUUUCUGAACGGCAAAGACGCCCCGGGGCGUCGCGUCGGACGAAAUCAUAAUACAACUUUCAGCAACGGAUCUCUUGGCUCUCGCAUCGAUGAAGAACGCAGCGAAAUGCGAUAAGUAAUGUGAAUUGCAGAAUCCAGUGAAUCAUCGAAUCUUUGGACGCACCUUGCGCUCCUUGGUAUUCCGAGGAGCAUGCCUGUUUGAGUGUCAUGAAAUCAUCAAGCCCCUCUUGGCCUUCCUUCCGGGGAAGGUUCCGAGACCGGGGACUUGGACUUGGAGGCUUUCCUGCCGGCCUUGGCGUCGGCUCCUCUUAAAUGCAUUAGCUGGAGUGUGAAGCGGUUCUUGAAUGACCUUCCUUUCGGCGUUCGGCGUGAUAAAUACAUCUGCGCCGUGGCCGUGUUAUGUGCUGUUGGUCGACCCUUCUGAUAAAACUCGCUCUCGGCUUACAGAACAAAAAGGGACGGACCCCGUCUCGUUUCAUUGACGUUCUGACCUCAAAUCAGGUAGGACUACCCGCUGAACUUAAGCAUAUCAAUAAGCGGAGGA